AACUUAAAGGAAGUUGACGGGGAGCACCACAACGGGUGGAGCUUGCGGUUUAAUUGGAUUCAACGCCGGAAAUCUUACCGGGACCGACAGCAAUAUGAAGGCCAGGCUGAAGACUUUGCCGGAUUAGCUGAGAGGUGGUGCAUGGCCGUCGUCAGUUCGUACUGUGAAGCAUCCUGUUAAGUCAGGCAACGAGCGAGACCCACACCCACAGUUGCCAGCGUACUCUCUGGAGUGACGGGUACACUGUGGGGACCGCCGCUGCUAAAGCGGAGGAAGGAAUGGGCAACGGUAGGUCAGUAUGCCCCGAAUAUCCCGGGCUACACGCGAGCUACAAUGGUUGGUACAAUGGGUAUCUACCCCGAAAGGGGACGGGAAUCUCCUAAAACCAAUCUUAGUUCGGAUUGAGGGCUGCAACUCGCCCUCAUGAAGCUGGAAUCCGUAGUAAUCGCGUUUCAACAGAACGCGGUGAAUACGUCCCUGCUCCUU
rnacentral:rRNA from 1 species